CUUCUUUCUUAGAAUCAGAAUCUAUAAAACUAUAAACAGUGGGGAUGGCUGGUAAAAAAGAGGAAAGUUCUUUAUUCUAGAAGGAUCUUCUGA
rnacentral:snoRNA from 1 species